rnacentral:tRNA from 1 species
AGGAUAAUAGUUUAAUUAAAACAUUUAAGUUGCAUUUAAAAAAUAUUAUUUAAUUUAUCUUU